UAGCUUUUUCAAGCAGAACAAAUACGAAUUUACAGUAAAAAGGUUCAGUACAGGACCAUAUUCUUAACAUGCAAUGAAAGUUUCUUGCCUAUUUCAAUUCUUUUGAUCUAGUUUAUCUUUGUAAAGAGCAUGUCUUCCUCUUUUGUCAUUCUUGAGAUGGAUAUUGUGAUUCAACAAAAGGAGCAUCACAAAUAUUUCUACCAAAAUAUGAAUCUUUCAGGCUCGAAUCAAACAGGGAGCAAACAGGACUUCUUCGUGAACUUACCUGUUCAUGGAGUUGAAUCAAAAAGAGAGAAAACAGGGAAUCAAACUGAAGUGUAGCAUCUCAAAUAUUUACAAUCACUGAAAACUAUCUACCCAAUUAUGAAUGGUUCAUACCAGACCAAGGAGAACUGUACUUUUUAUGACUGUAGAUGAAAAUUUUACAGAAUAAUUUGGGAAAAGCUGGCACAUACCUCAGGUGUAGCACGUUCGGACAGCGGAUGUUGUUCCGCCUCAGGUCAGGUGUAGCAGGCUCGGACGGCGGAGGUUCUUCCGGCUAAUUCGGCGCGAUAUUGGACGGUUCUUCGAAAGUUGUGAUGCGAGGUGAUUUACUGGGGAUUUCCGUCAAGGGCUCGGUCUUAUGGCAUCCAAAUCCCUGUGGAGUUCGGGCUGGGCACUCCGUCUUGGAGAAGUUGUCCCGCACGAACACGGACACCGACUUCGAUGCAAAUUGGAGAUAGACGGCAGCAGGAGGUUGGAGGUAGAGGAGGCUGUGGUGGCGCCGGAGAAGAUUGGGGGCGGACGGGGAGGGGAAGAGCAACAGGGCGGCGGCAAGUCGGUGAGGAAGACCAGCCGCGCGUGGCGGCGGCGGCGCCGCCGGUGCCGUCGAGUAGAGGUGUGCUUGUGUAUUUUUUUGGGCCAACUGC
rnacentral:lncRNA from 1 species